AUGUGUGUGUGUGUGUGUGUGUGUGUGUGUGUGUGUGUGUGUGCAAAGGCUCAAAGGCUGAAACUUCGAAAUUACUGUCAACCUUUCUUGUAAAAACUUAUAAAAAAUAUUUUUUAUCUAUUUCUUCAACGUUUAUUUUAUAUCUUUAUAAAUUUUGGCUUUCUUGAAGACAACGAAGAUUCCCAAGAAUGUUUGCCCCAUUUUUAUGUAUCAAUAUUUGCAUAAAACUAAGGCGGCGAGCUGCCAGAAACGUUAGCACGCCGGGCGAAAUGCUUAGCAGUAUUUCGUCUGCCACUACGUUCUGAGUUCAAAUUCCGCCAAGGUCGACUUUGCCUUUCAUCCUCUCAGGAUCG